UACGUAGGGUGCAAGCGUUGUCCGGAAUUAUUGGGCGUAAAGGGCUCGUAGGCGGUCCAUCGCGUCGGGAGUGAAAAGCUGGGGCUUAACCCCAGUCCUGCUUCCGAUACGGGUGGACUAGAGGUAGGUAGGGGAGAUCGGAAUUCCUGGUGUAGCGGUGAAAUGCGCAGAUAUCAGGAGGAACACCCGUGGCUAAGGCGGUUCUCUAGUACGGUACUGACGCUGAGACGCGAAAGCGUGGGGAGCGAACAGG
rnacentral:rRNA from 1 species